rnacentral:lncRNA from 12 species
AUGGGGGCAUCUAGGCGCUCUGCCCUGGACUCUCCUCCCUCCUCGGAACUUUGGGGCUGGGAGAGUCUCCACCCCGAGGUGGGGAGGACGGGGCGGGGGUGGGGGUGGGGUGGGGGAAGAGAGCAGGGCCGGGAGAUUGGGCCCGACCCCGUAGGUCCCGCACACCUGGAUGCAGGCGGUAGCGCCAGGUCGUGGUCCUGGCCUCCCUCCCCACUGGCCCACGGGGCUCAGGACACCCCGGCCCCCGCGGAUCCGAGUCUGCACCCCCCAGGGCUGCUUCAGCGUCCGAGCCCAGACCAAAGUGUUUCUCAGAUACCCAAGACGGGUUCAAUUCGAGAUGCGGUCAACUCCAUCGCUCCUUCCUUGGGCACAUUCCGCAGACACCGGGUCCACUGCACCUCCGGGGACUCCCGCCUUACAACCCUCCUCUUCCCCAGAGGUUCUGCAGCUAACAGGUCCUGGGACUCCCAACCCUACCGCCAGCGUUUCUCUGGGCAGCUCAAUGCAGGUGACCAGCUGCAGGAACGGGCUGCAAGACUUGGUGUCACAUGGUGCCAACCUCCCAGCUUCAGGUGCGGAGAGGUGUAAAGCUCGCAAGCAACCUGCCCUGCAUCGGAAUCAACCAACUUAAGAACAAGUUCAACAUCGCUGCGAGAGACAAGAGCCUGCAAACUCAACGUCCCCCCCCCACCCCCCUGCGCCUGCGUCUCUCGGUGGCGGCGGCCGCUUCGGUGGGGUACAGUUUAGAACCACACCUGGGUUUCGCUUGGGGCCAGAUGGAACUUGAUAGCUCAACCUCUGAGCUUCUUUUUUUCUUUGGAGUCUUUCCUUCUCUAUCUACCUUUUUUUCUCUCUCCUUCCCGCCCCAGCGCCUGGGACACUGCUAGGCACCUGCCCCAGCGCCUGGGACACUGCUAGGCACCUCGCCCCAGCUCCAGGGACACUGCUAGGAGCCUCGGUCUCCGUGGCUCAGGCCACGUCUCUGGAACUCGUCCUGGGAAUCUGACCGCGACUACCCUCCAUCCGGAGACUUCUUCCUGCAUUGGGGGAGUGCAAGCUCCCCCCUCUCCAUCCUGCCCCCAAACCCAUCGGGUGAAGUCUGCUGAACGGGUGCGCACCAGUCGCCGCGGCCCUCGGACCCCCCACCUCCCUCCCACCCCACCCCACCCCCCGCCGGCCCGGUCCUAGGGCAAGCUGCCCGGAUCUGGACCUAAAGGGCGCUAGCUCGGCUGGGUGCA